GAUGAACGCUGGCGGCGUGCCUAAUACAUGCAAGUCGAGCGAACAGACGAGGAGCUUGCUCCUCUGACGUUAGCGGCGGACGGGUGAGUAACACGUGGAUAACCUACCUAUAAGACUGGGAUAACUUCGGGAAACCGGAGCUAAUACCGGAUAAUAUAUUGAACCGCAUGGUUCAAUAGUGAAAGACGGUUUUGCUGUCACUUAUAGAUGGAUCCGCGCCGCAUUAGCUAGUUGGUAAGGUAACGGCUUACCAAGGCGACGAUGCGUAGCCGACCUGAGAGGGUGAUCGGCCACACUGGAACUGAGGCACGGUCCAGACUCCUACGGGAGGCAGCAGUAGGGAAUCUUCCGCAAUGGGCGAAAGCUUGACGGAGCAACGCCGCGUGAGUGAUGAAGGUCUUCGGAUCGUAAAACUCUGUUAUUAGGGAAGAACAAGUGUGUAAGUAACUAUGCACGUCUUGACGGUACCUAAUCAGAAAGCCACGGCUAACUACGUG
rnacentral:rRNA from 1 species